AUGCAUUCCAGCCUGAACAACAUAGUGAGACCUCAUCUCUAAAAAAGUAAAAUAAAAGUAAACAAAAACUUAUUUUGCAUAUAAAACCAUAAUCUUUAAUGCUUGACAAUCUUAUAUCUCUUCCCUUUUCACCUAGAUUUAUGCUGCUGCUGGCAACUCUUCAUAGUAUGAGAUAUCAAAAAAGGAUAUUUGGCAUUAAUCAUUUUUAGUGGGGGCUUUAUUAGUUUUUUAAUUUAUUUGUUACCAUGUAGUAAGUUUUUUUGACAUAACUGUCUUAUAAUCAGGAUACAUCCUACUACUCUUUUGUCAACCAACAUAAUAUCAGAAAGCUUUAGUGCUAGAAGGGAUGCUAGUAAUUAUAAAAUCUACUUUCUCAAACUGUGUCUCACUGUUCUGGAGUCUCACUACCUCUACCUUCUUUCUGAAAUAAUUACAGGAUGAUUACAUGCUUAUAUAAAUUAUGGAAACAGUGAUUUAGGGUGAAUUACAAAGGUUUCUUCUAAGUAUCUAUUUGGCUCAUCCACAUGUGACUCUCUAACAAGGAACACAAGAUACAGCAUUUCUUAAAUUCACCAUGUUAAUAAUCCCCUCAACCCAGCCGAUCCCAGCCUGUCUUUCAUAUACCAUCAGGUAGGACCACUGUGCUCCAGAAUGUGCUUCUGGAAAAUGUGUUUAUUCAAAUAUCUCUUUUUGUAGAUGAUGAAACUAAGAAGCUCCAGAGAAACUAAUUAGCUCCCACUGUGAGACCAUGGACCAUGCAAACUUGACUUUCAUUGUUCACUUAUACUCUGGCCUGUGGAUAGCAGUUAGACUAUGGUGGGCUCAUUCUGUAGGCUGUAAAACUGUUGGUAAUAGGAACUAAUAGUCUAUAAGAUCAAGUGUUUUUGUUUUUUGCAUUAAAAAACCCUCCGAAUGCAUUACAGAAGUUGAAAUCAAAACAAUUGAAUCUGAAAAAGGUUGGCUAUAUUUGAAAGCAAUUUGAAAUAGAAUAUUUAGGGAUUUGAGACUUUUAAGGAUUUCUAAAAUUAUAAUUUAAAAUGAAUAAUGAUUUUUGAUAAUGGAGUUUGACCCAGCUUCUUAGUUCAGAAAAGCAUUUUAUAAUCACUGGCAAAAAUAAUGAGGUUUUGGUGUCUAGUAUAAAAUGUGAUUUUGAAAUAUCAAGAGUUUAAUACAUUUAAAUGUGUUAAAUGAUCUAGUUGAGAUUAUAUUAUGAAAAAACAAAGUGACAGUUGAUUCCAGAUCACAUUAAUGUAGUAUUAAUUAUUGUUUUAUUUUUAUUUAUGUAACAGUUCUUUUAUCAGUAUGGAAGAGUUCUUUUAUCAGGGGAGUUAACUGAUUUUUAAAGUCUAGUUUAUUUUGAAGCCAAUGAGCUAUGCCAUUGACAGCAUGAAAUAAAUUUUGCUAAAUAAUUUGUUGUGGUAUAGUGUAGUAAAGAAAUGUAGGGAAAAAGGAUAAGGCUAAAUUGGGAAACUGCUUAACAACUGUUGUCUUUCCUCAUGUAAUCAGGUAAGAGGAAUAUCUGGUAAUCUGAAGAGCUCUUAGCAUCUGAUCAUAAUGGCUUUUAGGGGUGCAUAACACAGCAUUAAGGAAAUUUUCUUUUAGUCUAAGUGAUAAUUAUGAAAAAUCUGUAGGCAGAUUUUUUUCCCUCUUCUAUAGCUUCUUCUCCACUUCACCCUGUUCUUUCUUCCCUCCUCAGCAUCCUUCAAGUGUAGUUUGCCAAAUAAUAUCUGGGUGCCUGCUAAAGAGUGGAAGAAGCUGUAGUUAUCUUUCCUCUCUUCUCUUUACUUAGCCAUAUAGUUAAAUUACUGGUCAUAAUGACAUUGUAUAUUUAUAUAGAAUGUUUUAAUUUCUAUACUACUUUCACAGGCACUUUAAUUCUUACAAAAAUGCAUCUGUUAGGCAGAGGUUAUAUUGCUAAUCAUCAUUAUACAUGAUGAAAAUGAGGACUAGGGUAGUCAAAUGGUUUGUCCAAGUUCACAGCUAAGGAAUAGCAUAUUGGAAUCAAUGCCAGGUAUACGUUUUAUUUUAAUAAAAUGUAGAAUUUAUAUUUUUUUCAUUAUAAAAUGAAUUCCUAUUUACUAUGAAAUUUUUGAAAAAAUAAAAAAUAAGAAACAAAAUCUUAUAUCCUCAACAUUCACGGAUAGUUAUUUGGAUUUUUCUGUUCACAUUUUUAAUAUACAUUGAGAUUUUAAAAAUAUAAUUUUGGUCAACUGCACAGAUACUCAUAUCCUCUUUUUUUCUGGUUGAUCUUUGCAUGUAGCCAUUUAAAUGUGCUAUUAGGUUGGCCCAAAAGCCAUUACAGUUUGUGCCAUUACAUUUAAGGGCAAAAACAGCAAUUACUUUUGCACCAACCUAAUGCAAUAAAAUAUUAUUACUUGAAUCUUCAAAAUACAAAAAUUAAACUUGCUAAUUUUAACAAGAGAAGCAAUAUAAAAGUCAAUAAUUUACAAUUUCUGGGACCCAUGUUAACAGCCUGGAUACAUAGCCUGGUAGCAUUUCAAUUCAGCACAUACAAAUUAAAUUCUGUUUUUUCCAAUUUAUAUAGAAGCAUGUAUGAUAUAUUAUAUAUUUUAGCCCAUAUAAGUGAGAACUGAACAUACAUAUUAUCAGGCUGGGAUUUUUUUGUGUACUAUUUCUUCCUUUUAAAAAUUGCUGUCUUUCUAGCUUUCUUUUCCCUUUCCUUCACAUCACAAAGAUAUAAAUAGGUGUGCGAGUAGUACCCACAUUCAUUAAAGAAAUAAAUGUUCUAAAGUAGAGGAUGUAAAAAGUAAAUUAGGAUACUUUCAAAAUGUUGAAAAGUUACUACAGCCUUUAAAGAAGUUUACGAUAAGUGUGCUAUACUAUUGGAAAGCACCUAUUUUUAUAUUAAAUAGAAGAAAAUGGGAUCCAAACUUGUACACAGUGUUUAACCAAGUAUGUAAAAUAUUCAUAGAAAUAUAUUGGGAAGGAGAUACACCAACAUAUUGAUGACAGUUUUUCCUAGGUGAUGUUUUAAAAAUUCAGUAAGUAUUUAUUAUUUUAAGUAAUCCCAACGAUUUACAAUAAAGAAAAACAAGUUUUGAGAUAGAAAUGGGGCCCUCACCUGCAUAUUUGCUCUUGAUAUUUUCCUAGACUUUCCUACUCAGUGAAAUUUCUUUUCAUUUAAAUGACCCUCUCCCAGUCUAUGUUAACAAUUCCAAUGUACAGCAGUAUACAUUUUCUCAUAUAGGUUCCGUAAAGUUUACUUUUCUCCUUUAGUCUUCUUAAUCUAUCUGUAGAUUAAGAAGCCUGUGUUUUAGAAGAUUGGCCUUUUAAUCCUGUUUUUGAUUAAAUGGACUCUGUAGAAUAAAAUGCAUACGAGGAAAAACAUUUACUUUAUAUUCUAGAUGAGUAUAUUUAUGAUAUGUUACAGAGUAGCAAUAAUAAACAUGUUGAUCAUUAUUAGUUAGGUCUAUGUUCAUGAAUCAUUUGGGCAAUUAAGAAUACAACUAUGGGACACUAAAUUUAAAAAAAACACACAUACAUAAAUUCUCUGAAAUUUAAAAACUUUUCUUAAAAUCUUUGUGGUUGUCAGUAAAUUUCAAAACACUUUAGGAAAGCUUUUAGCAGCUCAAGAAAUAAAAAAUAGCAUAAGGGAUCCUUUGCUCAAGCCAGAACAUUCUUUAAACACACAAAAAUUGAUGUUUGAUACAGUUUAUUUUUAAUUUCUGUAUUUCUCCACAAUGAAUAUAGUAUAUUGAAAGCAUUUUACAUAUCCUUUCUGUGAGAUAUGCAUCUCUUUUGAUGAUAGUUUGUCACCAAGGCAACCAAACCUUUGCUUAAUAUCCUAUACUUUAGUGAGAUAAAAUGCAUGUCAUUUUAAGCAUAGCUUCUUUAUUUAAUUUUUAUUUCUUCACUAGAGAAGGUUUGAGACUUUACUUUGAAUGAAAAUGGAACUGUUUAUAAAUCUACUUUUCAUAAAACACACCUUUCUGAGUGUUUUGAGUGAUGAUUCUCAGAAAUAUCUGCAUUUCAGAUCUGAGGACCCAUUCUUCUCUCCCUCUGCCUUCUAAUCUUGACAUGUAACAAUUAUAGUCGGAUUUAGCUUUUGGUCUUCACUCAUCAAAGCAAACUGAACUAAUUCUAUCCCAUUUGAAACACUACUGAGUAUAAAUAAGUAAAACAUUCAAAUAGAAAAUGAAAGUGAAGCUAUUCACAGAUCCAGCCUGUAGAGACAGGCUAAGCAGUCACCCUCAACCCCACUGGUUUCAAUUUCUCUACAUAGUAUCAAAAUUAACACUGAUGCUUCUGAAGAUUAUGCCAGAUAUAUGCAACUUCCAAAAUCUCAACUCUUUCAGGAUUCCAUAGCCUUCUUUUUUCUUUGUAUAGUGUUUUCAUCUGUCAAGAGUAGUUGUUGUUUCUAUUUGUUCAUGAGACUGUGUAUAAUGGAGAGUGAUUUUUCUAAGACAUAUUCAAAGCCUUCAGUAUGAAUGUACUUUCCUCAGGUGAAGUUGAUUUGUUCUGUUUUACACCACUAACAAUACAGUCUGUUGGCUGGUUGGCUCAUUUAUCGAAGAGAAUAUGUAUAUCUAAGAAUGUGAGGAAGAAAGUGGUGGGAGCAGAGUUUUCAUCAAAUCUAUUCUGUGGAUCUGGAGAGAAUCAAACACACAAGGCCUUGUUAACUUCUCUACGGGGAGUCAGCAGCUGUCAACCAGGGAUCACUGUAAGAAUUCUGUAGGAUUCUCAAACUGGUAUACAGUGAGAUCUCAUUUUAAUUAUUGUUUGUUUUCUGUUACCCCAAACUGAGUGGCUUUUAAUAGCUUAAACACAGAAUUUGUGAGCUGACCUUCAGGAGCUGUGAAAGUUGGAGAGGUUGGGAAGGGGAUGAUAUGAGAGUAGACCCCAUCCAACCUUCAACAAUAUGAGGGAUAUGAAGACAAUCUCAAAGCAAUGAGUGAGUGACAGCAGCAUGAAGGAGGAGAGCCCACUGGGUUCCUAAAGUCUGUAUCAUGGUAAAAGAAGGAUGAACCUGGGAAAUGAACCUGAGCUCGAGACAGGCCGGCACUAACAAUAGAAAGCCUCCGUGAUUCUGGCAUUCUCUCUCCGUGGCUCAGUUUCCCUAGGGUGUCUCUGUUCUUCUCAGAUGCUUUCCUUCUUCAUAAGAUGUCCAGGAUUUUCACAGCAGCUCUAUUUUGACUUCAUAAGAUGUUAGGGUGAAGAAACUGAAGUCUCAGUUCUUCAUAUAUAGUGAAUCAGGAUACACAGUGUUUAUGAGCAGGGGUGACUUCUUUGAGCCCUUUUUUUCAACUAUAAAGGGUAAAUAAUGUCUGCCUAGUAUUGUCUAUCAGAAAUCAAAUUUAAUAACGCAUGACAGGUACUUUGCAUUUUAGCUGGUGUUACUUGUAUUGCUAUUUAUCUAUUCUGCCACAUUUCUUGUAUUCUUAGUUGGUUUGUAAUAUUGUUAAAUACCAAGACCAUGUCUUAAACCUCCUGUAGCUCUUGUGUCUAGUACUAAGCACUGUAGAUUUUGGGACUCAGUAAAUGUCUUUUUAUGAAUGCUGUGUGCCCUUGAUCCUUGAAAAAAAAUAGCUUAAAACUUAUAAGAGCACUUACUGUGUGCUAUAUCCUAAGUGAUUUAUUUGUAUUAAAUCAGGUAAUUUUAAAAUUCUAAGAGAAGUUGAUCAUUGCCAUUUUACAGACAAGGAAACAAAGACCCAGAGUUGAAGUAGUUUGACCAUGUGAUCCAACCAGGAUUUCAACACAGGCAGUCUGACUCUAGAGACCACUCCUUGUAUCACAAUGCUCUAUUGAAAAACACUUGUGAUCCCUCACAGGAUCAAUAACUUCCCUCAUUUAGGGAAAGAAGAGAAAAUAUUCAUGUCUGUACAAAGUGGGCAAGUGGCCAUCACUGCUUCUGAGACUGAGGUGAUUUUUAUAUGUGUUUUAUUCUAAGUACGAGAGAAUGUUCUUCCUUUUCCAGGAAAGUAUGAGAAGUAAUCUCAGUGCAGAGAACAACUUCAGAAGCAAGAGGGUGGGUCAGAUGCUGCUGCUCUAGCAGUUAACUCUUGUUCAAGAGUGCUCUUUUUGCUUCAUGAAAAGUUCCGUGAAGAACCGUUCCUGCUCUAUCCGACUAAAUGAUAAGAACAAUUACAGCAAUAACAUAAUCAUACUGAAAACAUGGAUCCACCCAUAUGUCAUCACUGUCCAACUAAUGUGUUUUAAAAUGGAGAGAGCUUACUGACAUCAUGUCACACAUGAAGAGUUAUUUGAAAUGAUGAAUUUUCCCCAGAAGACAGUCAACUAUGCUGGGCAGAAAGUGGUGGUGUAAUGCAAAUAUCAUAUGCUGUAGGGACAAACAGACGUGUGUUCAAGCCUAGCUAUGCUAUAUAUUUACUACAUGAAUUUGGUCAAGUUGCUUAACUUCACUUAACCUUAGAAGAUAAUAAUGAAAGAUUCAGAGGAUUAUUAUGAAGAUCACAUUUUGAAUUACAAAUGGUGUAUACGAAAAACAAGAAUUUUUCAGCUGCCCCCAAGUGAGCUCUGCUUGCUUUAGCACUGUGGCUACACCGGUUACCUAGAUUCACCUGACGAUUACACAAUUACAUAUUUCCUUUUGGCUUCACAAACAUGAGCUUAGAUUUCUUUCAGUUUCUUAGAAAAUUCGAAUAGCAACAAUAGUUUCUUGUCUUGGGCACUGAAACAUAGAACCUUAGCUCCAGGUGCUUAAGAAGUCCACAUACAUGCUAUUCUGUGAAUCAUCAUAUUUAUGUUAAGCAGAGUAGAAAAAUAAGAUUAUGUUGAGCAAUGACUUCAUAAGAAGUUGUUGGGUUCUAUGCACAUGCUACUCUGUGAAUCAUCAUGAUGAUCUUAUAUGAAGCAGAAUAGAAAAAUAUGAUUAUGUUGAGUCAAUGGCAUAAUAAGUUGUUGGGUUCUAUUGUGAAUCUGAAAUAUGCCCCGUGUAUUCUACAUGCUGAUGUUAAUGUUAGGUAGAUGGAUUCAUAUGUAAUCAAUGAAGUUACAGCAGUUAUUUGGCUUCUCCAUAUUGAUAUGUUCCACACAGCUGUGUGACAAACCAUCCUGGUUUCCUGAGAACCAGGACUUUCAGUGCUAAGACCAGGAAUGUCUUUCACAUACUGAGACAAGUUAGUUACCCUACAUACAGAGGAGCUACCAAACGAAUGGCUGAAUCAAGAAAUUACUAGACAACGUAAUACUCAAAGAAGACAAUCCAAUUCCUUAGGAAAAUCAUGCUGCCGUUGACCCUGAUCUUACU